CUACGGGCCGCUCCAGUCGAGAAUCAUUCGCAAUGCACGAAAGUGUGACGAUGCGACGCUGCGUGGAGGAUGAAGGCCCUAGGGUCGUAAACUCCUGUCAGAAGGGAAAAGACAGUAGUGGGUCAAUACCCCAUUGCUCCGAUGGUACCUUCAGAGGAAGCCACGGCUAACUCUGUGCCAGCAGCCGCGGUAAUACAGAGGGUGGCGAGCGUUGUUCGGAUUUACUGGGCGUAAAGGGUGCGUAGGCGGUCUGUUAAGCUGGAUGUGAAAUCCCGGGGCUCAACCCCGGAACGGCAUCCGGAACUGGCAGACUAGAGACCAGGAGGGGAGAGGAGAAUUCAUGGUGUAGCGGUGAAAUGCGUUGAUAUCAUGAAGAAUACCGGUGGCGAAGGCGCCUCUCUGGAAUGGUUCUGACGCUGAUGCACGAAAGCGUGGGGAGCAAACAGGAUUAGAUACCCUGGUAGUC
rnacentral:rRNA from 1 species